CGUUCUUCCGAUCUCAGAAGAGAACGAGUACAGGAGAGAUAUGAAAGCACACGAUGGAAAGACAACAAAGGUAGGAGACUGCAAAGAUAAGGGGAAGAGAACAAAAAAAACAUAGUUUCCUCCACACC